UCACUUUAGUAGCAAAUAUAAAUGGAAACAAUACAGAGAUUAGCAGGGUCCCUUAGCAGGGAUGACACACAAAUUUGUGAAGCAUUUAACAUUUGU
ensembl:snRNA U6 U6 spliceosomal RNA